rnacentral:rRNA from 1 species
CCCGAGUGGCGGACGGGUGAGUAACGCGUGGGUAGCCUGCCCUGUACAGGGGGACGAACAGCCGGAAACGGCUGCUAAUACCGCAUAAGCCCGCGGCGCCGCAUGGCGCUGCGGGGAAAACUCCGGUGGUACAGGAUGGGCCCGCGUCUGAUUAGCUAGUUGGCGGGGUAACGGCCCACCAAGGCAGCGAUCAGUAGCCGGCUUGAGAGAGUGGACGGCCACAUUGGGACUGAGACACGGCCCAGACUCCUACGGGAGGCAGCAG